CAAUCAAGUGCCUUAAGGGUGUUCGGUGGAUGCCUUGGCGAUGAGAGGCGACGAAGGACGUGCUACGCUGCGAUAAGCCGUGGGGAGCUGCGAAGGAGCUUUGAUCCACGGAUUUCCGAAUGGGGAAACCCACCUUCGAUAGCCGAAACUCUAAGUUCACAACGACGCAAGUCGCUGUGGAUUUGGAUUUUCGGUUAUCAAGUGAAGGUAUGAGACUUCUGAAUACAUAGGAGGUUUCAAGCGAACCCAGGGAACUGAAACAUCUAAGUACCUGGAGGAAAGGACAUCAACCGAGACUCCGCUAGUAGUGGCGAGCGAACGCGGACCAGGCC
rnacentral:rRNA from 1 species